GACUGUUUAUUAAAACACAGCACUCUGCAAACACGAAAGUGGACGUAUAGGGUGUGACGCCUGCCCGGUGCUGGAAGAUUAAAUGAUGGGGUGCAAGCUCUUGACUGAAGUCCCAGUAAACGGCGGCCGUAACGAUAACGGUCCUAAGGUAGCGAAAUUCCUUGUCGGGUAAGUUCCGACCCGCACGAAUGGCGUAACGAUGGCCACACUGUCUCCUCCUGAGACUCAGCGAAGUUGAAAUGUUUGUGAAGAUGCAAUCUCCCCGCUGCUAGACGGAAAGACCCCGUGAACCUUUACUGUAGCUUUGCAUUGGACUUUGAACAGACUUGUGUAGGAUAGGUGGGAGGCUUUGAAGUGGGAACGCCAGUUCUCAUGGAGCCGUCCUUGAAAUACCACCCUGGUGUGUUUGAGGUUCUAACCUGGG
rnacentral:rRNA from 1 species